GGCAGGCAGCUCGCGAAAACCGCAAGGCGGAGGGGGCCGCAGCCCGUGCGGGCACGCGGCAAAGCCCGCGGAGCCGCGGCAAGGACGGAGCUCCGGAGGGAGGAGGACGCGAAGGAAGCCAGCGGGUUUCCUAGUUGAGGGAGGGCCUGGCGAGCGGGACCUCCGCGGCCAGGGGACGGGACGGGCUCCCCGACCCUUUCUCACCUUUCACGAACUCCGAGGCUCCCCCCAGCACUUCGGAGGCGUCUGCUGCCGGCUCCAUCUUAAACAGGGUGCGGAGCAGCGAGGCGCGGGGCGGCUCCGAACUCAUGGCGCUGCCGGGCAGCCCCGGAGGGGCCGGGGUACGCUCGCUGGGAAGCGACCCGUUGCCCGGCGGGGCCGCCCGCCAGGCGCCACGCUGCUGGGAGCGCCGCUGCCGCAGCCCGCAUAGGAACGGGAGCAGAGACGAGAAGUAGCUGCAGGACACGGCGAGCCGCCGAGCGAGCAGGCGAGCGAGCGCCCGCAGGGACUUCAGCUACACCCCGCCCCCAGCCAGGAGACGCCCCCGGAUAAAGAGGCAGCGGGCGGUUACCAGGCGACCGGCGGCGCUCCGGCAACCGCGUUACCGAGCCUUUGUCUCGCCCGGCCCGGGGCCGAAGCUGAGGCGGGCGAGCGACCGGCCCCCCUCCCUAGCCCCCGCGGGGCGGCUGCUCCGCCCUCCGCCUCACAGCGCCUCAGCACAGAGCAACCCACCCGCGCCGCUGACCCGCCCGGCAGCCGCUUUGCACCCGGCACAGCCCCGCCCUCCGCCUCAGCCGCGCUCCACGCCCCCCUCCCGCCGCGGCGCGGCCCUCUCCGCGCCCGGACAGACCUCCCGCGCCUUCGCUGCUCCCGCCCGAGGACGGCCCGUGGCACAACGCCCAGCGGAGACAGAGCGGGUCUUGAGGCACGUCUGGCAGGGCCUGAGGCGGCGGAAGGCACAACCUGAACCGCAGCUAAUACCUCAGCAGUGCCGCUCCAGCUCGGGAUGGAGGUAGAAGAUUCACUUUGUGGUGGGCCAUUUGCAAAAGCUGAAUUAAGCUUGUGGUCUGCGUUUGACUCGCUGCCAAAGAAACAAGCAUGAAAAGAGUGAGGAAUGCCUUCCUUCUGCCACCCUCUCCUUCAGAAAGCAUACUACCAGCUCCAGGAAUAAUAUUCCUAAAUAUGACUCUUUGGGCCUGGUCCUGUCAACUUAGGUAAGAAACCUUAUUGUCAGUACUAAGUGCUAUUCCAUAUAAGAUGCUUGCAAGACUGAGGUUAUAGUCUUCUGUAACAGCAAAUUAAAUAAAGGUUGUUUGCAUAUAUUUGCUUUUCAUGGAA